rnacentral:rRNA from 1 species
GACGAACGCUGGCGGCGUGCUUAACACAUGCAAGUCGAACGGAAAGGCCCUGCUUUUGUGGGGUGCUCGAGUGGCGAACGGGUGAGUAACACGUGAGUAACCUGCCCUUGACUUUGGGAUAACUUCAGGAAACUGGGGCUAAUACCGGAUAGGAGCUCCUGCUGCAUGGUGGGGGUUGGAAAGUUUCGGCGGUUGGGGAUGGACUCGCGGCUUAUCAGCUUGUUGGUGGGGUAGUGGCUUACCAAGGCUUUGACGGGUAGCCGGCCUGAGAGGGUGACCGGCCACAUUGGGACUGAGAGACGGCGCAGAGUGCUACGGGAGGCAGCAGUGGGGAAUAUUGCACAAUGGGCGGAAGCCUGAUGCAGCAACGCCGCGUGCGGGAUGACGGCCUUCGGGUUGUAAACCGCUUUCGCCUGUGACGAAGCGUGAGUGACGGUAAUGGGUAAAGAAGCACCGGCUAACUACGUG